rnacentral:tRNA from 1 species
GCGCUCGUAGCUCAGCUGGAUAGAGUACUUGACUACGAAUCAAGGGGUCGUGGGUUCGAGUCCCUCCGAGCGCGCCA